rnacentral:rRNA from 1 species
UACGUAGGUGGCAAGCGUUGUCCGGAAUUACUGGGUGUAAAGGGAGCGCAGGCGGGAGAGCAAGUCAGCGGUGAAAUACAUGGGCUUAACCCAUGAACUGCCGUUGAAACCGUUUUUCUUGAGUGGAGUAGAGGCAGGCGGAAUUCCGAGUGUAGCGGUGAAAUGCGUAGAUAUUCGGAGGAACACCAGUGGCGAAGGCGGCCUGCUGGGCUCUAACUGACGCUGAGGCUCGAAAGCGUGGGGAGCAAAC